CCUACGGGAGGCAGCAGUAGGGAAUAUUGCUCAAUGGGGGAAACCCUGAAGCAGCAACGCCGCGUGGAGGAUGAAGGUUUUAGGAUUGUAAACUCCUUUUGUUAGAGAAGAUAAUGACGGUAUCUCACGAAUAAGCACCGGCUAACUCCGUGCCAGCAGCCGCGGUAAUACGGAGGGUGCAAGCGUUACUCGGAAUCACUGGGCGUAAGGAGUGCGCAGGCGGGCUUGUAAGUCAGAUGUGAAAUCCUGUAGCUUAACUACAGAACUGCAUUUGAAACUAUGAGUCUAGAGUGUGGGAGAGGUAGGGGGAAUUCUUGGUGAACGGGGAAAAUCCGUAGAUAUCAAGAGGAAUAC
rnacentral:rRNA from 1 species